CAGGAAUUUUGCAGCCCAUGGAACAAUCCAUAACUUGCACUUCAUCCUCAGCCCCAUUUUCCCGGUCUCUCUCUCCGCUAUGACCAAACCCCCACCUCCUCUUCCCUUCCCAGCCUCCUCGGAAAGCAAAACCACGGGAGCAAAGGAUGGGUGCACUGCUAUGGAAAAAGCAGAACUGGCCAAACCAAACCUCAGCCCAAACACUGACAUCAACCCAAACAUUUUUGAAGGUCAGGGUGAGUUUGGAUAAGUAACCCAUGUACCCAGUGGAAGGAUUAAUUGCAUGGCGCGAUGCAGAAAAUACAGGGAGCAACACUGGAAUCGGAGCCGAGCUCGUAAUUUUAUUAAAGCAGAUCAGUUGUAGCAUCUUAA